GACGAACGCUGGCGGCGUGCUUAACACAUGCAAGUCGAACGGUAAGGCCCUUCGGGGUACACGAGUGGCGAACGGGUGAGUAACACGUGGGUGAUCUGCCCUGCACUUCGGGAUAAGCCUGGGAAACUGGGUCUAAUACCGGAUAGGACCACUGCCUGCAAGGGUGGUGGGUGAAAGCUUUUGCGGUGUGGGAGGGGCCCGCGGCCGAUCAGCUUGUUGGUGGGGUGAUGGCCUACCAAGGCGACGACGGGUAGUCGGCCUGAGAGGGUGACCGGCCACACUGGGACUGAGAUACGGCCCAGACUCCUACGGGAGGCAGCAGUGGGGAAUAUUGCACAAUGGGCGCAAGCCUGAUGCAGCGACGCCGCGUGAGGGAUGACGGCCUUCGGGUUGUAAACCUCUUUCAGCACCGACGAAGCGCAAGUGACGGUAGGUGCAGAAGAAGGACCGGCCAACUACGUGCCAGCCGCCGCCGUAAGAC
rnacentral:rRNA from 1 species